AUUGAACGCUGGCGGCAGGCCUAACACAUGCAAGUCGAGCGGAUGAAGAGAGCUUGCUCUCUGAUUUAGCGGCGGACGGGUGAGUAAUGCCUAGGAAUCUGCCUGGUAGUGGGGGAUAACGUUCCGAAAGGAACGCUAAUACCGCAUACGUCCUACGGGAGAAAGCAGGGGACCCUCGGGCCUUGCGCUAUCAGAUGAGCCUAGGUCGGAUUAGCUAGUUGGUGAGGUAAUGGAUCACCAAGGCUACGAUCCGUAACUGGUCUGAGAGGAUGAUCAGUCACACUGGAACUGAGACACGGUCCAGACUCCUACGGGAGGCAGCAGUGGGGAAUAUUGGACAAUGGGCGAAAGCCUGAUCCAGCCAUGCCGCGUGUGUGAAGAAGGUCUUCGGAUUGUAAAGCACUUUAAGUUGGGAGGAAGGGCAGUAAGUUAAUACCCUGCUGUUUUGACGUUACCGACAGAAUAAGCACCGGCUAACUUCGUGCCAGCAGCCGCGGUAACAC
rnacentral:rRNA from 1 species